rnacentral:rRNA from 1 species
UAGAGAAUACCAAGGCGCUUGAGAGAACUCGGGUGAAGGAACUAGGCAAAAUGGUGCCGUAACUUCGGGAGAAGGCACGCUGAUAUGUAGGUGAAGUCCCUCGCGGAUGGAGCUGAAAUCAGUCGAAGAUACCAGCUGGCUGCAACUGUUUAUUAAAAACACAGCACUGUGCAAACACGAAAGUGGACGUAUACGGUGUGACGCCUGCCCGGUGCCGGAAGGUUAAUUGAUGGGGUCAGCGCAAGCGAAGCUCUUGAUCGAAGCCCCGGUAAACGGCGGCCGUAACUAUAACGGUCCUAAGGUAGCGAAAUUCCUUGUCGGGUAAGUUCCGACCUGCACGAAUGGCGUAAUGAUGGCCAGGCUGUCUCCACCCGAGACUCAGUGAAAUUGAACUCGCUGUGAAGAUGCAGUGUACCCGCGGCAAGACGGAAAGACCCCGUGAACCUUUACUAUAGCUUGACACUGAACAUUGAGCCUUGAUGUGUAGGAUAGGUGGGAGGCUUUGAAGUGUGGACGCCAGUCUGCAUGGAGCCGACCUUGAAAUACCACCCUUUAAUGUUUGAUGUUCUAACGUGGACCCGUGAUCCGGGUUGCGGACAGUGUCUGGUGGGUAGUUUGACUGGGGCGGUCUCCUCCUAAAGAGUAACGGAGGAGCACGAAGGUUGGCUAAUCCUGGUCGGACAUCAGGAGGUUAGUGCAAUGGCAUAAGCCAGCUUGACUGCGAGCGUGACGGCGCGAGCAGGUGCGAAAGCAGGUCAUAGUGAUCCGGUGGUUCUGAAUGGAAGGGCCAUCGCUCAACGGAUAAAAGGUACUCCGGGGAUAACAGGCUGAUACCGCCCAAGAGUUCAUAUCGACGGCGGUGUUUGGCACCUCGAUGUCGGCUCAUCACAUCCUGGGGCUGAAGUAGGUCCCAAGGGUAUGGCUGUUCGCCAUUUAAAGUGGUACGCGAGCUGGGUUUAGAACGUCGUGAGACAGUUCGGUCCCUAUCUGCCGUGGGCGCUGGAGAACUGAGGGGGGCUGCUCCUAGUACGAGAGGACCGGAGUGGACGCAUCACUGGUGUUCGGGUUGUCAUGCCAAUGGCACUGCCCGGUAGCUAAAUGCGGAAGAGAUAAGUGCUGAAAGCAUCUAAGCACGAAACUUGCCCCGAGAUGAGUUCUCCCUGACCCUUUAAGGGUCCUGAAGGAACGUUGAAGACGACGACGUUGAUAGGCCGGGUGUGUAAGCGCAGCGAUGCGUUGAGCUAACCGGUACUAAUGAACCGUGAGGCUUAACCUUACAACGCCGAAGGUGUUU